rnacentral:lncRNA from 1 species
GGCAGCUACACCGCGGCCUCCCAGGAAUGGAAGCAGCUAAGGCGGUCUCCAUGGAAACAGAAAAGAAGAGAGGCAAAUCGCUGUCUUCCACUCAGGGACCCGCCCUCAAGAUAAAUUAGCCAGUGAUUCGAAGGGGCUAGCAACAAGAAGGUAUCAUUGAUGGGGACGAGGGAAACCCGGGUCUGUCACUGUCCAAUCGCUUUUGAGGUUGGGCCCGCGGCUCUUUCCAGUAUUAACCAAUAGUGAGGGACGAUGAAAUAACCUCCGCCCGCCACUGGAGGAUGUCAGGAAGGAGGAAUGAAUUUUGAGUGGACGCUUCCGAUUAGUGGGUUUGGAACGCUGGGGCUGAAAGCCCACUUGUGAUUCGCUGCCUCUAGGACGAGGCCCCAGUGGGGAGGGGCUACAGCGGAGUUGGAGAUUGUGUGGAAAAGAGGCGGCCUCGGGGUCGGCUCUUGGGGAGAGGGCUGGCCAGAAUGCCCAGCACUAUACUUGGAGUGGGUGCAGAAGUAUUCAUCUUAGCGCUGCUCUGGGUGUUGAUAUUGCUGCUGUGUGUGCUGUUAUCCCGAGCCUCCAGUCUAGCUAGGUAAGAUGUUCUUUCCAGCUGGGAGUCCUAGGUAAAAGCAAUUAGAGGUGAAAUCGCUGACACUCAUUAAACAUUUAGAAUUCAGGCGAUCAUUUUUGUAAUUACUGGCAGUUUGAAUGAGUUGCAUUUUAGUCUAUCAUAAACACUAACUAUGUUAUUUAUAGUCUAAAGGAAAGAUUUAUUUUUUUAGUUUUUCACUGUGAAGUGGGAAAUUAUGCCAGAAAUAUAGAGAAAUAAUCUUUCUUUGCUUUUCGCAAAAAAAAGUAUUUUCAAUUGUAUUUGAUUAAUUCUUUCUCUGAAACUCUAGGUCUAGGCCCAGAAAAAGUGAAAAAGUAAUGGAUACCUUAAACCAGCAAUGAUUGUGAAGUUAAGGCCAUAUAUUAACUUCUGAGAAAUAGUAAUUAAAUGUGCUAGCCUACAGAUAUUCUGCCUGUCCUACCAGAAUGAGGAAAAAGGUUAUACAAAAAAGCCUGUUUUGACUUGCAUUGUUAU